AACGGUCUAUACCUGCGGUACCUGCGGAGGGAUCAUUACCGAGUUUACAACUCCCAAACCCCAUGUGAACAUACCUGUUUCGUUCCCUCGGCGGUGUCCGGCAACGGCCCGCCAGAGGACCCAACAAACUCUUUUGAAUUUUUCAGUAUCUUCUGAGUGAAAAAAACAAUAAAUCAAAACUUUCAACAAUGGAUCUCU
rnacentral:misc_RNA from 1 species